rnacentral:rRNA from 1 species
GCGCAGCAGGCGCGAAUACUUUACAAUGUGCGAAAGCACGAUAAGGGAACUCUGAGUGCCUCCUAAGGAGGCUGUUCAGGUGUCUAAAAGCACCUGAAGGAAGGGCUGGGUAAGACCGGUGCCAGCCGCCGCGGUAACACCGGCAGCCCAAGUGGUAGCCACGUUUAUUGGGUCUAAAGCGUCCGUAGCCGGCUGGGUAAGUUCCUUGGGAAAUUUGGCUGCUUAACAGUCAAGCUUUCAGGGAAUACUGCCCGGCUUGGGGACCGGGAGAGGUCAGAGGUACCCCAGGGGUAGGGUGAAAUCCAUUAAUCCUUGGGGGACCACCGGUAGCGAAGGCGUCUGACCAGACCGGGUCCGACGGUGAGGGACGAAGGCUAGGGGCGCGAACCGGAUUAGGAUACCC